ensembl:misc_RNA
UUAACAGCCCUAGAGACUGAAGCCUUCUAUUUAUCCACAGAACAGGUACAACACAGUCAGCAGCAGUGCAAGCUUCCCCACAGCAAAGUAUCAUCCAAAUGUCUCAGCCCUGUUCUGGAGGAUCCACCUGUUGAGGUGAGAAGGUAGUUCAGUCUCUUUCUAUCCAGGCAUGAUUUGGCUUUU